UACGGAGGGUGCGAGCGUUGUCCGGAAUCACUGGGCGUAAAGGGCGCGCAGGCGGCUGCUCAAGUCAGGCGUGAAAGGCUUGGGCUCAACCCGGGAAUUGCGCUUGAGACUGGGCUGGCUUGAGUGCGGGAGAGGAUGGCGGAAUUCCCAGUGUAGAGGUGAAAUUCGUAGAUAUUGGGAAGAACACCGGUGGCGAAGGCGGCCAUCUGGACCGCAACUGACGCUGAGGCGCGAAAGCGUGGGGAGCAAACAGG
rnacentral:rRNA from 1 species